GACGAACGCUGGCGGCGUGCCUAACACAUGCAAGUCGAACGAAGCUUGAUUUCUGAUUUUUUCGGAAUGACGAAUGAUAUGACUGAGUGGCGGACGGGUGAGUAACGCGUGAGCAACCUGCCCUUCGGAACGGGAUAGUGUCUGGAAACGGACAGUAAUACCGUAUAACAUAUAUUGAUCGCAUGGUCGAUAUAUCAAAACUGAGGUGCCGAAGGAUGGGCUCGCGUCUGAUUAGAUAGUUGGUGGGGUAACGGCCUACCAAGUCGACGAUCAGUAGCCGGACUGAGAGGUUGAACGGCCACAUUGGGACUGAGACACGGCCCAGACUCCUACGGGAGGCAGCAGUGGGGAGUAUUGCACAAUGGGGGAAACCCUGAUGCAGCAACGCCGCGUGAAGGAAGACGGUUUUCGGAUUGUAAACUUCUGUUCUUAGUGAAGAAUAAUGACGGUAGCUAAGGAG
rnacentral:rRNA from 1 species